rnacentral:rRNA from 1 species
CGGCGUCACGAGUGGCAAUCACAUUUAUUGGGUCUAAAGCGUUCGUAGCCGGUUUAGUAAAUCUUUUGUGAAAUUGUCGGGCUUAACUCGACAGCGUGCAGAAGACACUACUAGACUUGAGACCGGGAGGGGUUAGAAGUAUUUCAGGGGGAGCGGUAAAAUGUUAUAAUCCCUGAAGGACUACCAAUGGCGAAGGCAUCUAACCAGAACGGAUCUGACGGUGAGGAACGAAGGCCAGGGGAGCGAACCGGAUUAGAUACCCCCGUAGUCC